rnacentral:siRNA from 1 species
GUUACGGAUCUAGUGGUGGUUAUU